GCUGAUCUAGACCACCAUUCACUUUCUGGUCUAAACCAACAACAGUUUUAUUAGCUUUUACUGAUUCCUCUUGCAUUUUAAUCUUCAUUUUUUGGCCAGCACCACCUCUGCUUUCUGUAGAUUUUUUUGACGUAGAAGAAGUGGAGUUACUGCACAUUUUCUUAUCUCUAAGUAGUCUUGCUACCUUGGCCUUGUGCUUCUUACCUUGAGGAUGCUCAUGUAGACCACCCUUCACUUUCUGGUUUAAGCCACCAACAGUUUUAUUAGCUUUAACUGAUUCCUUUUGCACUUUAGUCUUCAUUUUUUGGUCAGCACCACCUCUGCUUUCUAUAGAUUUUUUUGACGUAGAUGAGGUGGAGUUACUGCACAUUUUUUUAUCUCUAAGUAGUCUUGCUACCUUGCCCUUGUGCUUCUUACCUUGAGGAGGAUGCUCAUCUAGAGCACCCUUCACUUUCUGAUUUAAACCGCC
rnacentral:lncRNA from 1 species